rnacentral:snoRNA from 11 species
AAAAUGAGAGACGAAUGUGAAUGUCUCGUCAUUGAUAACAAGAGGAGGUAGAGAGAACGGAAAGGCGAGAUAUCGUUUCAGUCGUCAUUUCUCUGGAUUGGCGAUUCGAUUGUUGCUCGUCUACAU